rnacentral:lncRNA from 1 species
GGGAUGCCCAGCUGGGCUGCCAGCGGACAUGGGGCCUCACUAUGCUGACAUCUACAAAGGCACUGAUCGCCUUGGGAUUCUGCACGAAACCCAGCACCCACCCGGAUUCCACAGCCCAAAUGGCACAGGGGUCCAGGGGCUCCAAGACCACCAGGAGCAUGUGGUACCCACGUCACACCCCAAGACCAUGAGGCACGACACGGAAGGGCUAUGUGCUCAAGGUUCCUCAUUAGCUUGGCUUCUACAGAGGGUGAUCAAUGGGAUAAUCUCUCUCGGGCUCACCCUAAGCCUGUGGAGGGUGUAUUUGGUAGAAAGGAACAGGUGUUGAUGCCAAUGGCACGCACUGCCUUCAAGGUUCAGCUCAUGAAGGCUUCCAGGUCUGGCCUGUGGGCGCGUUUUCAGGACCAGUUCCCCCAAACCUGGGCCCUGGACAGUGAUGCAGUUCUUAGGCACCUUCAGGCCUCUGUGCUCUGUAAGGAAACUACCAGGAAGCAUGGGGACCUGCCACCCCCGCCAAACCUAAGCAAGGGUCCUCAGCACCCAGGCCUGAGCUGGCUUCACCGUGUGGCAGGAAGACCCUCUGCAAGGGGAGUAGGCAGGCUCCUCCAGGCCCACAAGCCCACUUCCAGCAGUGCAUUUGGUCAGCUUCCCCGCCAUGGGUGCCUCUUCCUUUCACACCCUGUCCUGUCUUGGUGGGGCUAUCCCAGGGUGUGCCCAGACUGGCCCCAGCUCAGGGAGGACCUCGGGUUUCCUGGAGGUACCUGCAGUGGAACUCCCUGCCUCAGCUCCCAAUGGACUCGGACGUGGUGAGCCCUUGGUUUCCCCAUUAUGAUUUCGAACAGGGCUGUUGGGCCCGUAUUUCCCAGAAGGACCAGCUGGCCACCUACUGGCAGGCUGACCACACUGCGGAAGGG